UUUGGAGUCUGAGCUCCGCCCCUCUCCUGCUUAAGCACAGCCGGACUCGGAGUCACGGGAAGGUAAUGUAGACGGGCCCGCUUCGUCCUGCCGCGGAGACUUCAGCCGUUGGUCCGGCGAUUGUGAACAAUGUUCAUUAAGCGUUUUCCUCUUGCGCCUCAUUUUCAAAUCAAACUAGUAACUAUCACUGUAUAUAACUAUACCAAAAGCCUCACCUUAACCUGCUAAUUUCAAAGUAAUGAAAGUGCACAGUUGGGGCAGGUCAUGAUAAUUGACAGUCAUUUAAUCGAAUGAGAGAGCAUUGCAGCGCUGCUUCAGGUAACGAGAUCUGUAAAAACAGGUUGAAAUGACUGUGACAGUGAACUACUGGACUAAAGGACCACUGAGAUGAUUGACAGCGACCCCUGGCCAUUCUGAGCGGAAAGGAGACGGGACAGACAUCAGGUGUACUUAGACCCUGAAGUGAAGCAUUCAGCCAUCUCAUGGCAUGGGAACGGGAAUGGAGGCAGGCAGAAAUCUAGGAAGGAGGUCACAGGUCCCCCCGUUGGCACAGUUACAGACCUGAAGGACAGGGCUUAAUACAGAACCCGACAGCUGAUCAUUAACCUGCACUGUCAACAUCACCGGAGCCGUGUCCCGCGGAGUCCAGAUACGCAUGUGCUUCACUCUGCUUACCACUCCCGAUGU